GAAUUGACGGGGCCCGCACAAGCGGUGGAGCAUGUGGUUAAUUCGACGCAACGCGAAGAACCUUACCAGGGCUUGACAUCCCCUGACCGCGUAUGAAAGUACGUUUUCACCCUCGGGUGACAGGGAGACAGGUGGUGCAUGGUUGUCGUCAGCUCGUGUCGUGAGAUGUUGGGUUAAGUCCCGCAACGAGCGCAACCCCUACGUUUAGUUGCUAACGCGUGAAGGCGAGCACUCUAGACGAACUGCCGUUGACAAAACGGAGGAAGGUGGGGAUGACGUCAAAUCAUCAUGCUCCUUAUGUUCUGGGCUACACACGUGCUACAAUGGCCGGUACAGACGGACGCAAAGCCGCGAGGUGGAGCAAAUCCUAAAAAGCCGGUCUCAGUUCGGAUUGCAGGCUGCAAUUCGCCUGCAUGAAGUCGGAAUCGCUAGUAAUCGCAGGUCAGCAUACUGCGGUGAAUACGUUCCCGGGCCUU
rnacentral:rRNA from 1 species